ACUUUGAUAUACCAGUUCCCGUACGAUCACCGAAGUUAAGCAACGUCCAGCCCGAUCAGUAGCUCAAUGGGUGACCGUUUUGGGAAUAACAGACGCUGUCAG